rnacentral:rRNA from 1 species
UACGAAGGGUGCAAACGUUGCUCGGAAUCAUUGGGCGUAAAGCGCACGUAGGCGGCCCAGCAAGUUGGAUGUGAAAUCCCUCGGCUCAACCGAGGACGUGCAUCCAAAACUGCUGGGCUUGAGUACUGAAGAGGAUCGCGGAAUUCCCGGUGUAGAGGUGAAAUUCGUAGAUAUCGGGAGGAACACCAGUGGCGAAGGCGGCACUCUGGGACGGUACUGACGCUGAGACGCGAAAGCGUGGGGAGCGAACAGG